GACGUGUUUUCAGUUUCUCAAUUAUCUUCUUACAUAGUAUGGAAAACUGUUUUAGCAGGAUUGCAGAUACUGUAUAUUUUAUCCUGACUUUUACCCCUGACUAUUGUAGGAAAACUGACAUGUUGAUGAGGACGCAGACCCCGUUGCCUAUGUUCCUUUCCCUUCUAAUAUAAGAACUCCCUCGCAUUUUGGGGAUCUCUGCAUGCAGUACCUGAUGUAGCCCAGCCAGGGCAAGUAGCGGUGACUUCCAGAAGAUGCAACAAGGAAUCCUGGGAUCCCUGGCUGAGACAGUCUUCAAGGGUAUCUCGGCAGAGCAUCCUAGCAGUGACGAAAAGGACAGAGAACUAUGACUCUGUCCUUAAAAAGCUGACCAAUUAUUCUGAAGGUUAUAGGUAGAAAGUCAGAGAGAAUGGAUUCAUUAGCUGUUAGUAAAUGAAACCCCAAUUUUUGUUUAAAAAAAAAAAGCUUGGUGCAUUUUGUUGCUCAAAAAACAAGUGACAUAUUUGGGUUAAAAUCCAGCUGCUGCUGCAAAGGAGAUUGGCUGGAGAACCACAACCACAUUAGUGUGUGGGUGACAUUAAAUGUCAGAGCACUGAUGGAACUCGGAAGGAGGAGAAGGGGUUUUUUGGCUUUGGAUUGCCCAGGAGGGACAGACUGGUUUCAUGCCCUGGAUUGCAUAUAGCUGGAAAGCUGCCUUGCCUUACUGCCUGCUGAAAGAAGUCACCUGCAGUGAUUCAUCCUAAUACCUAAAAAUCAAAUUGCAGAGUAUACACUCCUGGGCCUAAACUCCCCGGCAUAUCAGUGAAAAGGAGACCUCUUUUACGUUUUAUGUUUUGUGAAUUUAUUACCUACAUUCAAGGUAUUCCAUAGAAGGCGAGUUUCUGCAAGAUGGAGGUUUGAAGGAGUCAGGUUUAUGAGGAAGGAUCAGAUGUGAAGAGCUGAUUCUGAAUUCAUUAGAGCUGAUUAAAUGCUUGUGUUUACUCAAUAAAUUUGAAUUCAGAUGGUACGAAACGGGAAUAGGAGUCAGAAAUUGGACUGUGGGGGGUAUUUGCAGUUGUCUCUGGUUUCAUUGAGAGCACCGUGCUUGUUUAGCGAGCCAAGGAUAUCUGCUGUCUGCAAGGCAAUGACUCCCAGUUCCUGCUGAGCUGCCAAAACUGCAGGAGCCAGAACUGGCCGUCUUCCAGAGGCGAGCUACAAGCGCUUCCCGUGAUGCACCAGCCUCCCGUACUGAGGCCUCUCUCUGAUGCUGCGCACAGCUCUGGAAAACCUAAAGAGAAUUUUUAAAAAAGAAACAGCACUUCAUAUUAGUAACAAGAACAGAUGUUGACCUCAGAUGCCACGUCUGCUUCAGCUGGAAGGGAAGCAUCCUUCUUUUCUCUUUUCCUGGAGGACUUUCUUCCUAUUCUAGACACUGGAUCACAAAAUGUGAUACCACGUAAAGGCUGUAUGUGCUCCCCAUGUUGUUGGUCUGCUUGAAACAUCACCAGAUGAUGAAAGAGGAACCAGGAGUCCCAAGAGACUUUGCAGACAUUUACUUGGGUGUUGUCAAGCAACAGAUGAUAACAGCUGAUCACUGCGUCCCACGUGUUAUCGGUGGAAGAAGGUGUACCUGUGUGGCAGCUUCCAGCGGGGCUCCGGGCCAUUGAGAUGAUGGCAGUGGCUCUGAGGAUGGCUGAGCACUCUCCAAACCCCUGCGGAGGGGUGCGACACCAGGCAAAUGCUACCAUGAAGUGCUGCAACUGCCUUCAUGCCUUGCUAUCGCUAUAGUACUCCAGCAGUGCCAGCUCAGGAGCAGCAAGCUUCAAAUGUCCCGAAAUUAUCAGGAAGAACAAAAUUGCCCAUGCUGAAUAAAUAGAAAAUAAUGAAGAAAAUGAAGAGAAAGAAAUGAAUCCCACUCUCCAUUUUCAGCUGAGGUGACUGUAAGACAGAGGUGGGAGUCAUGAGCUGGCUGUGGCCUGCAGCCAAAAAUCUCGCUGAAAAGCGGGAGCAAGCUUCACAUGCCUCACCUGUGUGCCAGCAGCAGACUUGCAAGAUACAGAAACUGAGGUCUUAAAGUAAUUUACAUCAGGUAAGAGGAGAAAAUUCUGAUCUAUUGUCCUGUUGGUACAUCUGUUGCAGGGGACUCACGCAAAGCUGAGCAUAAAGGCAAGCCUAGGAGAACUCUGAGCCUAUUACUUCGCUAACUCCUGCAUGAGCGAUUGGCAUCAGGCUGGA